rnacentral:lncRNA from 1 species
CGCCUCACCUGGCAGCAGGGACUUUGUCUCCUUCACCCCUACAGCCGACACCCCUAAACCCGACUGCUCAGGCAGUCACCCCCCAAAGGAAGGAAAGAAACCUAAGUCCCUUGGAGAACUCGAGGCACUGAUAGGUUCAAAAUCGUGGAGAAGUAUCCUGAUUCCUAGAGAUUCAUGGGGACCAACAGAUGGAGUCCAGGAAGUAGGGUUUAUACAAACGUGAGUGUCCUAUUAGAUAUUCCCAUGAUGAUGGGGUGGGGGGGAUGGGAGGUGGU